UUUCUUCUGCAGGAUGGAUAUUAAAACUGGGACAAUACAGGGAAGAUAACACGGUCCUUGCACAAGGGUGACAUGCACAUUUUGUGAAGGGUUCCAUAUUUUA